ACCAGACUCCUACGGGAGGCAGCAGUGGGGGAUAUUGCACAAUGGGGGGAACCCUGAUGCAGCGACGCCGCGUGGGUGAAGAAGCGCCUCGGCGCGUAAAGCCCUGUCAGCAGGGAAGAAAAUGACGGUACCUGAAGAAGAAGCCCCGGCUAACUACGUGCCAGCAGCCGCGGUAAUACGUAGGGGGCAAGCGUUAUCCGGAUUUACUGGGUGUAAAGGGGGCGCAGACGGCGAUGCAAGCCAGGAGUGAAAGCCCGGGGCCCAACCCCGGGACUGCUCUUGGAACUGCGUGGCUGGAGUGCAGGAGGGGCAGGCGGAAUUCCUGGUGUAGCGGUGAAAUGCGUAGAUAUCAGGAGGAACACCGGUGGCGAAGGCGGCCUGCUGGACUGCAACUGACGUUGAGGCCCGAAAGCGUGGGGAGCAAACAGGAUUAGAUACCCUUGUACA
rnacentral:rRNA from 1 species